UUAAGCUUUCCCUCUCUCCUCCCCUGCAAAAAGUUCAGGACUCACUUACGUGUAUAACCAUACUAACUUGAUAAUAUUUGUUCUUAGGUCCAGAGCUGAAAAUACCACCUACCUAAAUCCACCUACCACCCCCUCCUUUUUUUGAGGUUCUGCUGCUUUCUUUGUUGUUUGCCUCAAGAUGGAGAGUAGUCUCAGUCUUUGGGAAUUUGGGGAGAAAUCCUAAAAGUAUAACCACAGAAUCUGCCCAGAAGAAAAGUAUUAUGCUACAAUCUUUAAUGCCCUAAAUCCAAUGAGCUAAAGAGUUUUUGGAAGUAUCAUCCUAUUCCGAGAGUAUGAAAUAAAGAAUUUGUGCUAUAAAGGGGAAAUUAGUAUUUCUUUAUGAAAUAAAAAUAAAACCCAGGAGUCUUAGUUUAGACAUGCUUCUCAGAAACAAGCCUAUUUCAAUACUGCAUGUUUG
rnacentral:lncRNA from 1 species